ACUGCGAAUGGCUCAUUAAAUCAGUUAUCGUUUAUUUGAUAGUACCUUACUACUUGGAUAACCGUGGUAAUUCUAGAGCUAAUACAUGCUGAAAACCCCAACUUCGGGAGGGGUGUAUUUAUUAGAUAAAAAACCAACGCCCUUCGGGGCUCUUUGGUGAUUCAUGAUAACUUAACGGAUCGCAUGGCCUUGCGCCGGCGACGGUUCAUUCAAAUUUCUGCCCUAUCAACUUUCGAUGGUAAGGUAUUGGCUUACCAUGGUUUCAACGGGUAACGGGGAAUUAGGGUUCGACUCCGGAGAGGGAGCCUGAGAAACGGCUACCACAUCCAAGGAAGGCAGCAGGCGCGCAAAUUACCCAAUCCCGACACGGGGAGGUAGUGACAAUAAAUACUGAUACAGGGCUCUUUUGGGUCUUGUAAUUGGAAUGAGUACAAUUUAAACCCCUUAACGAGGAACAAUUGGAGGGCAAGUCUGGUGGAUGUUAAAAAGUGGCCAGCAGCCGCGGUAAUUCCAGCUCCAAUAGCGAAUAUUAAAGUUGUUGCAGUUAAAAAGCUCGUAGUUGAACCUUGGGCCUGGCUGGCCGGUCCGCCUCACCGCGUGUACUGGCCCGGCCGGGCCUUUCCUUCUGGAGAUCCGCAUGCCCUUUACUGGGUGUGUUGGGGAACCAGGACUUUUACUUUGAAAAAAUUAGAGUGUUCAAAGCAGGCCUUUGCUCGGAUACAUUAGCAUGGAAUAAUAGAAUAGGACGUGCGGUCCUAUUUUGUUGGUUUCUAGGACCGCCGUAAUGAUUAAUAGGGAUAGUCGGGGGCAUCAGUAUUCAAUUGUCAGAGGUGAAAUUCUUGGAUUUAUUGAAGACUAACUACUGCGAAAGCAUUUGCCAAGGAUGUUUUCAUUAAUCAGUGAACGAAAGUUAGGGGAUCGAAGACGAUCAGAUACCGUCGUAGUCUUAACCGUAAACUAUGCCGACUAGGGAUCGGGCGAUGUUACUAUUUUGACUCGCUCGGCACCUUACGAGAAAUCAAA
rnacentral:rRNA from 1 species